UGCAGGUGAAGGUCUUCUGGAUGUCACCUCUGCCUGCCUUUCCUCUCCUGAGGCUCCUCUGAGCAUUGACCUUCUGUGGCGCUGCUUUUCUGAGGACCCAGACGGUCGACCCUGAGCGGGAACCCAGGGCAACACCGGGACACCCACAGGACCAACCUCCCCGUGGAUGAGGAGCAGGAGAAUGAGCACCAGCAGAACUAGCAGAAGCAGUGUACUGGGCCCCUCCCCAUCUCUGUACUUGGGAGUUGGGGGGGCAUUGCUUCUCUAGCCCACCCCCUCCUGUUGUGGGACAGGAUAUGGGGUGCCCUCCCCCACAUCUCUGCUUUUUUUUUCCCCUUCCCUGCAGGCCUGGCAGCAACUGUGGAGGUGGUCUCCAUGCUGUGUCUCUGUCAUGACAUUAGGAAAAAAGUCAACCUGGACCUUGUGUCUCUGACAGCCUGUUAGGCAGUACCUGGGAGAGGCCUGUUGUCUCUUCUGCCUCCUCUUUGUUCUUCCCAUGCUUUCUCCUGCCUUUUCUCCCCUUGCUGUUGAUGUAGAGCUAGACUCAAGGCUUGUAUCCUGUUAUCUCCAGGCAUCCCCAGACAUUGCAACUUCUGUGGCCCAAGAUUGCUGAGCUUCAGAGGAACCCAUAGAGAUGUGGACAUCAACCUCUUCAUCCCGGAAGACUCCUUUCCCAGUUUUCUCCCUACAGGACCAGACUGAACAGUGGAUCUGGGAGAAUCUUCUGGGACUUGAUGUGCUUCCUAUCCCUCCACUCUCUGGCAGACAACUCUGCCUCAGAAAUUCUGAGGUCACUUGGCCUCUGCUAGUUUUAGUGGCCAGGCCUUAAAAGAUUUGCUUUUCAUCUUCAGCCUUUAACCCAAUAAUAAAAGCAGGCAGUAGGGGGAAGACCAGGCCCUCAUGUUACGACUAGACCUGGAACAAACUGCAGAGGAAAAACCCUUGUUCCUCCCCCCAUAAAAAAACUUUGGUUUUACAAGGACUGUAGGGAUUCUUUGGACUAUA